GACGAACGCUGGCGGCGUGCUUAACACAUGCAAGUCGAACGGAAAGGCCCUGCUUUUGUGGGGUGCUCGAGUGGCGAACGGGUGAGUAACACGUGAGUAACCUGCCCUUGACUUUGGGAUAACUUCAGGAAACUGGGGCUAAUACCGGAUAGGAGCUCCUGCUGCAUGGUGGGGGUUGGAUAGUUUCGGCGGUUGGGGAUGGACUCGCGGCUUAUCAGCUUGGUGGUGGGGUAGUGGCUUACCAAGGCCUGGACGGGUAGCCGGGCUGGGCGGUUCACCGGCCACAUUGGGACUGAGAUACGGCCCAGACUCGUACGGGAGGCAGCAGUGGGGAAUAUUGCACAAUGGGCGGAAGCCUGAUGCAGCAACGCCGCGUGCGGGAUGACGGCCUUCGGGUUGUAAACCGCUUUCGCCUGUGACGAAGCGUGAGUGACGGUAAUGGGUAAAGAAGCACCGGCUAACUACGUG
rnacentral:rRNA from 1 species